rnacentral:rRNA from 1 species
CCUACGGGGGGCAGCAGUAGGGAAUAUUGCUCAAUGGGGGCAACCCUGAACCAGCAACGCCGCGUGGAGGAUGAAGGUUUUCGGAUUGUAAACUCCUUUUGUCAGAGAAGAUAAUGCCGGUAUCUCACGAAUAAGCACCGGCUAACUACGUGCCAGCAGCCGCCGUAAUACGGAGGGUGCAAGCGUUACUCGGAGUCACUGGGCGUAAAGAGUGGGCAGGCGGGCUUGUAAGUCAGAUGUGAAAGCCUCUAGAUUAACUACAGAACUGCAUUUGAAACUAUGAGUCUAGAGUGUGGGAGAGGUAGGUGGAAUUCUUGGUGUAGGGGUAAAAUGCGUAGAUAUCAAGAGGAAUACUCAUUGCGAAGGCGACCUACUGGAACAUAACUGACGCUGAUGCGCGAAAGCGUGGGGAGCAAACAGGAUUAGAUACCCUAGUAGUC